rnacentral:lncRNA from 1 species
GCAAUUGAUGAUUUAGUUCUUUUGUGGGUUAUUCCGACUUCUUUUAUUUUCCUUCUCUUUCAUCCUUUUCAGUUUUAAUCUUUCAAUUGUUUUUACUAAUUGAUUUCAACAAAGUGGUGUCACUUUUCUGUGUUGUUGGUAAUGCUAUUAUUCUCUACUAUAUAAGUAUAACAUUUUAUUAAGAAUUCUCAAAGAAUAGAGACAAAACAACUCCACAGAAAGAAAGAACAACCAACAAAGAUAAACAAGAACUGCCACCAUAACAACAUAACAAAAACAACAAAACCAAACAAAGAAACUAAAACUAUCAAGAUUAAGUCAACAAAAGCUGAAAUCAACAAAAAGCCAAGAAAACCACCACACAAAGAAGAAACAACUCCACCACCAAGAUUAAGUCUUUUUUAUUACCUUGUUGUUGUUCUUGAUCUCAUCUAUUCCGUCAUGUACUUGAGGUUUAAUCUCUCCUGAACCAGGUGUUGCUUCUUCAUCUUUACUGCUAACGGCAAAGACUCCUCAAAAUUUGGAAACAAGAGAGUCAAAAGUAAAAUUAAUAAGGUCCAAUAUUCUAAUGAAUUGAUUUUGAUGUGUUCUUAUAGUGUUUGUAUUUGAUGUUCCAAUUAGACAUGCCACCUAUUACUUUGGUGUGACAUAUCAAAAACUUUAUUUCACUUUCAAGAGGUAUCCACCCUGCUGCCCCGGGUUGACACUCAUUGGUAAUUUAUUCAAUGUGAAUUGCAUCUCUUAUUGAAUUUGUUUGUUUGAUCAAAUGUAUUGAGACCUCAAAGUAGCAAUGAUGAAGUAAGGAAACAACAUAGGGACAGAAAAGCUUUGUGAAUUUCUUUGUCUCCCUCUGUAUGCAGUUUAUUUCCCUUUUCUUAAGUUUUACAGUUAGUUUUUUCUACCCUGGUCCUUUAUCAUUGACAAGAGUCCAAUUUAUAUACCAGAUUAUUUUGUUGUUUUUUGCCACUGAUCAAUUAAUUUUGUUCCAUUUGAAUACACUGAAUGUCUGGAAGUUUGAGCAUCUGGUGCAGCAAGGUAUAUUGCUUUUGUAGUCCUGAUUGCAUAUAAUAAGAAAAACCUAAUCUCACUUCAGUUCCCUUCCAAUUAUGCUACAUUAGGUAAUGGUGGUAAUUUCUUGCCAUGUAUUUCUUCUUAUUCUUUUUGACUGAAUAAGUUUCUACUGAAUCAUUAAACCUGCCCUGUGACUGUAUUGUGGUUCUAUUAUUUAUGUACUUUUCAUAUUUUAUCACGUAAAUGGGGGACAACAUGAUAAAAUGAUCUUUUGGUGUGGGAUGUGGAGGGCAUUGGAAAUCAAGCAUUCAAGUAAACAUAGCAUGGCAGUAACAUAGUUACGAAAGCAUUUUCUAUGCUGCAGUUGCUUUUUAAGGUUGGUUGUUUAUAUUUUUGUAAACAUCAGGAGAAGGUAAUGUGUUUGUUUUUUAAAUGGGUAAUUUUGUGUUACUAUAUUUUCAUACCAUCCUUUUUAUAUUCUACUCUGCCUUUUCUGUUUUUCCUUUUUAUUCACAAUCUUUUUCUCAGGUGCAAGUUCUGCACAACAAUUAUGUCACCUUUCAAGACUGCAAGUUGCUACUUGUCCCUCUCUAGUUUCUGGCCCAUCUUCCUGUG